GCCUGGGUGGCUCAGUCGGUUGAGCAUCUGACUUUGGCUCAGGUCAUGAUCUCGCAGUUUGUGAGUUCGAGCCCCGCGUCGGGCU
rnacentral:tRNA from 1 species